rnacentral:rRNA from 1 species
GACGAACGCUGGCGGCGUGCUUAACACAUGCAAGUCGAACGGACAUUAUUGCUAAGUUUACUUAGAGAUAAUGUUAGUGGCGGACGGGUGAGUAACACGUGGAUAAUCUGCCCCUUACCCUGGGAUAACACUGUGAAAACGGUGCUAAUACCGGAUGACUUCAGGGAGCCGCAAGGCAGCCUGAAGAAAGGAGGAAUCCGGUAAGGGAUGAGUCCGCGGCUGAUUAGCUAGUUGGUGGGGUAAAGGCUCACCAAGGCGACGAUCAGUAGCCGGCCUGAGAGGGUGAACGGCCACACUGGGACUGAGACACGGCCCAGACUCCUACGGGAGGCAGCAGUGGGGAAUCUUCCGCAAUGGGCGAAAGCCUGACGGAGCAACGCCGCGUGGGUGAAGAAGGCCCUCGGGUUGUAAAGCUCUUUUGUCCGGAAAGAAAAGCGCCGGGUUAAUACCCUGGUGUCCUGACGGUACCGGAAGAAUAAGCACCGGCUAACUUCGUGCCAGCAGCCGCGGUAAGCUCGUCUCUA